rnacentral:rRNA from 1 species
UACAGAGGUCUCAAGCGUUGUUCGGAUUCAUUGGGCGUAAAGGGUGCGUAGGCGGCGCGGUAAGUCGGGUGUGAAAUCUUGGAGCUUAACUCCGAAACUGCAUUCGAUACUGCCGUGCUUGAGGACUGGAGAGGAGACUGGAAUUUACGGUGUAGCGGUGAAAUGCGUAGAUAUCGUAAGGAAGACCAGUGGCGAAGGCGGGUCUCUGGGCCGAG